CAGCAGUCGCCGCGGGAACACGAAGGGUGCAAGCGUUAAUCGGAAUUACUGGGCGUAAAGCGUGCGUAGGUGGUGGUUUAAGUCCGUUGUGAAAGCCCUGGGCUCAACCUGGGAAUUGCAGUGGAUACUGGGUCACUAGAGUGUGGUAGAGGAUAGUGGAAUUUCCGGUGUAGCAGUGAAAUGCGUAGAGAUCGGAAGGAACAUCAGUGGCGAAGGCGGCCAUCUGGGACAACACUGACGCUGAGGCACGAAAGCGUGGGGAGCAAACAGGAUUAGAUACCCCCGUAGUCCCUGUCUCUUAUAC
rnacentral:rRNA from 1 species